rnacentral:misc_RNA from 1 species
GAUGAAGAACGUAGCGAAAUGCGAUAAGUAAUGUGAAUUGCAGAAUUCAGUGAAUCAUCGAAUCUUUGAACGCACAUUGCGCCCGCUAGUAUUCUGGCGGGCAUGCCUGUUCGAGCGUCAUUUCAACCCUCAAGCUCAGCUUGGUGUUGGGCCCCGCCGCCCCGGCGGGCCCUAAAGUCAGUGGCGGUGCCGUCCGGCUCCGAGCGUAGUAAUUCUUCUCGCUCUGGAGGUCCGGUCGUGUGCUCGCCAGCAACCCCCAAUUUUUUUCAGGUUGACCUCGGAUCAGGUAGGGAUACCCGCUGAACUUAAGCAUAUCAAUAAGCGGAGGA